CUCAUUAAUUUUUUGUCAUUUGCAUUCCCGCUGUUAAAUAAUGUAUUGAUUGCUCUUUCUCUCUCCCUCUUUUAAUUCUCUCCCUUCCGUGGCGUCUCGCAGCCGCUGGCCCCGCUCCGUGACGGAUGAGUUGUCAGAGGCAGCCGACAGCUCGCACUGCUGCCAUGGGGCUCAAUGUGACCCCCGCGGCGCCACGCGAGUGACAGCUCUGGGGCUGGUGGCACCGGGUCCCCGCGUGGUCCCCCCGUGUCCCUCAGAGCCACAUCCACACGUCUCCUCAACUCCUCCAGGGAUGGGGAUGCCACCGUUUCCCUUCGCGGCUGCUUCCAGGUCUUGAUGACCCAGUGCUCAGCCUAAACAUCCCCUGGGGAAAUGAAUCACCCGGGUUGGAAAGGACCUUCAUGAGAUCGUGGAAUCACAGAAUCAUCCAGAUUGGAGGAGACCUCAAUGAGAUCACAGAACCACGGAAUCGUCAAGGUUGGAAAAGACCUCUAAGAUCACCAAGUCCAACCGUUGACCCGUCGCCACCGUGCCCACUGAGCCGUGUCCUUCUGUGCUACAAAAAAGGUUUGGGUGUCACAAAAAUGCAGGGAUCACCAAUUGGCCAAGACGCUGGAGCUGUGGUGGUGGCUCCCAGCGCUCCAGUCCCAGAAGCUCUUGGUUGAUCUUUGCAGCUGGAAAUUAGCACUCGGGCUUUCAGCCGAAAUUGAAUCUGGCCCUUGGCGCUGACGUCCAUCAGCCAGAGGUGCUAAUGGGAGUUAUUAGCACUCGAGUUCUGCACCGCAAAUACAUCGGCCCCAAGGGAGGAGAGGGAGAGAGGGACCAUGUAAGGAUGGAGCCAAGAAUCCAGAGGAGUGGGGCUGGGCUGCCUCCAAGGUCACCCCUUCCUUGGGAGGACGGAGCAGAGCGAUGCUCCCUGGCAUGCAGAUCAUCCUGCAGAACAUCACACAGCAUCCUACAGAGUGUGGCAGAGCAUCCCUCAGAGCAUCCCACACCACCAGGGCUGUAUUCCAGCUGCUGCAGCCUUCUCCUUGCUGUGGGAUCUCAGUCCCAGCCUCUCUGCAGGGGCACGUGGUGGGGACAGCAGUGUUUUCGCACUAAUCUCCAUGAGCAGACUGUUAGGAUAAUAAAGCAAAUAAACGGAAGAGUUAUAGCUGAGGCACUUGGGGCACUGUAAAACAGGCUGAAAGCAAAUACAGCAUCGUUAAUCCAUCAUAAAAUAACAGCCUCUUACGAUCCCGAA